UGAUUCGUAAGAUUUUUUUUUUUAAAAAAAAAACCUGUCUUUAAAGGAGAGCCCAAGUCAAGAUGCAAGAAGAGUUGACUUCCUUUUAAACCGUACAUGAUCCUAACCUAUGGUUGAAUUUAGUGGGUGGCCAGGGUAACAGUUGUGAGACUCAACCCGAUAACUGCCAUAAAAACAGUCAUGAAUGAGUUAUCAGAUCACUAUAAGUUUUUAAAAAAAUUCCUUCUUGUUGAUCCAAUCAGGUUUAGAUUACUGUUACCCUGUUUGAGUAAACCGGGACGUGUCUAGCAUCGUUCAGCUAGAAAUUCAGUCGGGAUAAGGUUUUGAGUCCUGAAUUUCCCGGUUCACCCCACUAGACCAGGUCUUGCAACCACCCUGACCCACCGAAAAUUGAGAAGUUUCCAAACUGCCCCUAGACUUGUAAGAACUUCUACGGUACUUUUACAGAACCCCCAAACCCAAAAAAAUCAAAGUCAACCUCAAUUUUAUCUCCCACUUUGCUAAGUCUGGAUGACCCGCACAUAACAGUAGAGUCCACAAGUUGUUCCACCAAAGAAGAAAGGGAUAAGGGAGAUGACACAUUCCAUACUUUCUGUCUUCUAAAUAAAUACAAAAUAUUGCUGGAAAAGAGAAUAGAAAUCCCUUGCUUCCUGUUUUAAAGUCCUACCUUAGAUCAUCUUGUUGCAUAGAAGAAAAAAGAAAGAUACAGGAAACAGACAAAAGGACAAAUCAGGAGUAAAGGACAAUGAAUUUGGCAAGAACCCAGAUAUCAUUGGAUGAGAGCAAGAAAGGAGAGCAACAAUUAGAUCCAACGAAGUACUUACAUGGUGUGUGGUAGCAGCUCACGGUGCUACUUAUAAUUCCCUUACUUCUCUCUCUCAAGCUUGAUAAGACUGCUGAGAAUGUCUGAGCGAUGGCAAGAACUUGAGUAAGGGAUAAAAGCAAAAACAGCCAACACCUUAUUUUAAUUUGGAGCUUGUGCCAGCAGCAUCACCAAAUACAGCAGGAAUCCUGCAAGAUUCAGAACUGAUUUUGGAUCUGCCAUGAUCAAAAUGGGAGAUAUAGGACUUCUCACUGGAUCUGCCGGGCAGAUAAGGAGGGUUUGCAGCGCUGUCAACUGGAUCUGCCGGGCAGAUAAGCAUCACCAAACUUGAGUAAAGUACCGAGGAAGGAACCGGUAAGCAUACUAACUAACCAGCUGUGAUAUCAGGCCAAAUUACUCUAUAAUUCAUCGAUUUCAAGUGGCAAGUUUUCCUUUAUUGGCUGCAUGGUGGUAAUACUCAUUGACAUUUCCUUUUCUGCUUGUUGGCACCGCGUAGCUUACCAAAUCCUCAAUUUCCAGGCUGAUGAGAGAAAGAUGCAGGCCACCUUUUGUUUCGUUUACUUUAGUAUAUAAGGAUGUUUUUUUUUUUAAAAAAAAAAGAUCAUUAAUUGCAGUAUCUUUUAUAGACAGGGAUGACAAUUUCACUCAAUAUGCAUGAUCGCUAUCCUAA